rnacentral:rRNA from 1 species
AUUCUUGACAAUGGGGGCAACCCUGAUCCAGCCAUCCCGCGUGUGCGAUGAAGGCCUUCGGGUUGUAAAUCACUUUUGGCAGGCAAGAAACGGCGCCAGCUAAUACCUGGCUCUAAUGACGGUACCUGCAGAAUAAGCACCUGCUAACUACGUGUCGGCAGCCGCGGUAAUACGUAUGGUGCAAGCGUUAAUCGGAAUUAUUGGGCGUAAAGCGUGCGCAAGAGGUUCGGAAAGAAAGAUGUGAAAUCCCACAGCUUAACUUUGGAACUGCAUAUUUAACUACCGGGCUAGAGUGUGUCAGAGGGAGGUAGAAUUCCGCGUGUAGCAGUGAAAUGCGUAGAUAUGCGGAGGAACACCGAUGGCGAAGGCAGCCUCCUGGGAUAACACUGACGCUCAUGCACGAAAGCGUGGGGAGCAAACA